rnacentral:tRNA from 1 species
GGGGAUGUAGCUCAGUGGUAGAGCACCUGCCUAGCAUGUACAAGACUCUGAGUUUGAUCCUCAGCCCA